GUAAUCUGGUUGCACAAAUAGGUCAAUGGUUGGGGAAGGUGACGUGCAAAUUUGCCUUCAGGUGGAGCAUGUAGCGGCAUACUAGCGUCAGCCCACAGCUGGUGAGAGAUGGGACGCCAGCAAUGUCAUUGUGUUAAGCUGCAUUUGAAUGACUUUUGCUGCUGCUGAAGAUACAAAAUUCUGUGCUGUACAUUACUCGUGAAGUGUGAAGUGUGAGGUGUGAAGUGUGAGGCUCGAGCGAGCAAUGGCAGCCCCAUUGGAGUAAACCUUCAGUGUCCCAAGGGAGCGGCUCCGAGGGCGAGGGCUCCCUCAGCGUGGAAGCUCUGGCACGUGUCUGAAGAUGAGUCACCGCAGCUCGUCCCCACACUGCUCCGUGGAAUAGCCAGCAUGCUGCAGGUGUUCAGUGUUCUCCACAGCGGGCUGAAGAGGCCGGAGUUGUCAGGCAAGAGACUGACUUGUCUGCUUGUACUUGAAAUGGAUUCGAAGAAACACAUGCAUUUGUCGAGGGGAAAACGCUUUCAAGGAGAGACCAUUUGAUGCUAAAAGGACCAUUUGAUGCUCUUUUAACCCUCUUGGUUUUAUUCAACUCCUUUCAUUACUUUCUGUUCCUGGCACCUUACCGAAGGAAGAAUAUGCCAAGAGUUUGAAUGAUGAAAGAGUAUUCUAUAUUUUUAGCUAUAUUUGCAUUUUACAAGUUUAUUUGAAAGAUAGUUUUGUGCAGUUAAUCUUUUUUUCUGUUUAAAUUAUUUUGAAAAUCUUAAAAAUAUCAUUUUUAGCCUUUUAAAUAAAUAUCAAAAUGCCCAUUACAAAAGGCUUCUUCAAUUCCAUGUAAGAAUUUAACUGUAAUAUGAACCAGGCUUAGAUGACGUCUAUAAAUUAGCCCAAGAAAAUUCCUGUAAUUCCUGGCUAUGAGGUUGUUUCUGAGGGGUGGUGGAUUUCUGGUCAUCCCAUAUUUCCUCAAUGCCUCCUACUUCAAGAGUAGAAAAUAUCGAUAGCGUCGCUGCUCAUGGGCAAAGGCCCAGUUGUCCUUCAGGAUGAUCUCAGUUCUGAUGAAUAUUUGGGUCUAUGAAAAGAAAAUUAUAGAAUAUUAAAA
rnacentral:lncRNA from 1 species